GACGAACGCUGGCGGCGUGCCUAAUACAUGCAAGUUGAGCGCUGAAGGUUGGUACUUGUACCAACUGGAUGAGCAGCGAACGGGUGAGUAACGCGUGGGGAAUCUGCCUUUGAGCGGGGGACAACAUUUGGAAACGAAUGCUAAUACCGCAUAAAAACUUUAAACACAAGUUUUAAGUUUGAAAGAUGCAAUUGCAUCACUCAAAGAUGAUCCCGCGUUGUAUUAGCUAGUUGGUGAGGUAAAGGCUCACCAAGGCGAUGAUACAUAGCCGACCUGAGAGGGUGAUCGGCCACAUUGGGACUGAGACACGGCCCAAACUCCUACGGGAGGCAGCAGUAGGGAAUCUUCGGCAAUGGACGAAAGUCUGACCGAGCAACGCCGCGUGAGUGAAGAAGGUUUUCGGAUCGUAAAACUCUGUUGGUAGAGAAGAACGUUGGUGAGAGUGGAAAGCGCAUCAAGUGACGGUAACUACCCAGAAAGGGACGGCGAACUACGU
rnacentral:rRNA from 1 species